AGCAUAUCAAUAAGCGGAGGAAAAGAAACCAACAGGGAUUGCCCUAGUAACGGCGAGUGAAGCGGCAACAGCUCAAAUUUGAAAUCUGGCGCAAGCCCGAGUUGUAAUUUGUAGAGGAUGUUUCUGGCGACGUGCCUUCCGAGUUCCCUGGAACGGGACGCCAUAGAGGGUGAGAGCCCCGUACGGUUGGAUGCCUAGCCUCUGUGAAACUCCUUCGACGAGUCGAGUAGUUUGGGAAUGCUGCUCUAAAUGGGAGGUAUACGUCUUCUAAAGCUAAAUACCGGCCAGAGACCGAUAGCGCACAAGUAGAGUGAUCGAAAGAUGAAAAGCACUUUGAAAAGAGGGUUAAAAAGUACGUGAAAUUGUUGAAAGGGAAGCGUUCAUGACCAGACUUGGGCAGGUUGAUCAUCCGUGGUUCUCCGCGGUGCACUCUGCCUGCCCAGGCCAGCAUCAGUUCGCCCCGGGGGAUAAAGGCUUUGGGAAUGUGGCUCCCUCGGGAGUGUUAUAGCCCACUGUGUAAUACCCUGGGGUGGACUGAGGUUCGCGCUCUGCAAGGAUGCUGGCGUAAUGGUCAUCAACGACCCGUCUUGAAACACGGACCAAGGAGUCGUCUUCGUAUGCGAGUGUUCGGGUGUCAAACCCCUACGCGUAAUGAAAGUGAACGUAGGAGAGAGCUUCGGCGCAUCUCCGACCGAUCCUGAUGUUCUCGGAUGGAUUUGAGUAAGAGCAUACGGGGCCGGACCCGAAAGAAGGUGAACUAUGCCUGUAUAGGGUGAAGCCAGAGGAAACUCUGGUGGAGGCUCGCAGCGGUUCUGACGUGCAAAUCGAUCGUCAAAUAUGGGCAUGGGGGCGAAAGACUAAUCGAACCUUCUAGUAGCUGGUUUCCGCCG
rnacentral:rRNA from 3 species